rnacentral:rRNA from 1 species
GACGAACGCUGGCGGCGUGCCUAAUACAUGCAAGUAGAACGCUGAAGGAGGAGCUUGCUUCUCUGGAUGAGUUGCGAACGGGUGAGUAACGCGUAGGUAACCUGCCUGGUAGCGGGGGAUAACUAUUGGAAACGAUAGCUAAUACCGCAUAAGAGUAGAUGUCGCAUGACAUUUGCUUAAAAGGUGCGAUUGCAUCACUACCAGAUGGACCUGCGUUGUAUUAGCUAGUUGGUGAGGUAACGGCUCACCAAGGCAACGAUACAUAGCCGACCUGAGAGGGUGAUCGGGCACCCUGGGACUGAGACACGGCCCAGACUCCUACGGGAGGCAGCAGUAGGGAAUCUUCGGCAAUGGACGGAAGUCUGACCGAGCAACGCCGCGUGAGGGAAGAAGGUUUUCGGAUCGUAAAGCUCUGUUGUAAGAGAAGAACGAGUGUGAGAGUGGAAAGUUCACACUGUGACGGUAUCUUACCAGAAAGGGACGGCUAACUACGUG